rnacentral:rRNA from 1 species
UACAGAGGGCCCAAGCGUUGUUCGGAUUCACUGGGCGUAAAGGGUGCGUAGGCGGUCGGGUAAGUCUGAUGUGAAAUCUCACAGCUUAACUGUGAAACUGCAUUGGAUACUAUCCGGCUAGAGGAAUGGAGGGGAGACUGGAAUACUUGGUGUAGCAGUGAAAUGCGUAGAUAUCAAGUGGAACACCAGUGGCGAAGGCGAGUCUCUGGACAUUUCCUGACGCUGAGGCACGAAAGCCAGGGGAGCAAACGGG